UAGAAAGAAAAAAAAUAUAGCCCCGCGGCGUAGGGCGGGUACCAACCUAGUGAAUGUAAAAAGAGGAAUGUUAUAAAUUUCUAACUCUCCUCCGCCGUAGUAUUCAUUAUAAUCCCCCGUCUCCGGCAAUGUACUCGGAGGCCCGAGUCGUUCUUUCGUCAUCUUGUUCCCUUCAUCCUCUAUUGGUCUUCUCAACAUCGUUUAUGGCUCUUCCUCUAUGCUCUCUCGCAUUUUUCCCUCUUUCAGUGAUUCUUCGUCGUCUCCGGAGUAAAUUGAGGAACCUAAGCUAGAAGAUGUGAUGCGUACAAUGAUUCUGAUAACUUUGAAUCAAGCUUGGGCAGCUUCAGGAUCUGUAAUCGAUCUCGUCUUUGAGAGUUUUAGAAUUGGUAAAUGAUCAAGAAAGCUUUUGAUGUGCUGUGUAGAGCUGCAACUAACGCUGGUGAUAAUUUCUUUGGAUGCUAAGGAAUAUUCUCGUUGAAAUGCAUAAACAUUGUUUCAGAAUUGAAACAAAAGGUGUUGAGUUCUCUGGUGGCGAGGCUAAUUUCAUGACUCGUUCUUAUUUGAAAAUGAUAUGCAGAAGAAUCAUUUUUCUUCGGAUUGUUCUUGAAAAGGUUAAAACUUUGUUUUCACGGUAUGUUUCUUAAUUUCUUACACUCUUGGUAACUUAAGCCAGAACUUAUUGGUUUGUGUAUUGAGUGAUUCAUUGUCUUCCCUUUAUGGUCUCCAGGAUGCUUAUGUGAUCUGGUUCAGGAACUUAUUUGUUUUUCAAAGCUUUCAGUAUUUAAUGUUGUCUUAUGAUUUUUUUUUUUUAUGAACUGCAUUUGAUUGAGAACUCUUGUGAGAUCAUUCACGUACUUACGAAGCCUCAGUCUGCUUGGCAGGGAAUAUUGUGUUCUUUUUGUUUGAUGAACUCACAGGACACAUAUGUCAUGCACUUUGGGAGACUAAGCGUGGCAUUUUCCAAGGUACAUAUAGUAUGGUAUUAGCAUGAGGAACUGAGCUAGAAAUUGGUUGAUAUAGGUGUUGGAGAUGGGAUGAUCCUAUAUUUUCUAUGGUCGUUGUUGAAUUUUUGAACAUUGUAGCAUGGUAAUUUUCGUUGGUCUCUGCAUCUGUGUGAAACUUCUAUGAAGCCAACCUUCCCCGUAAAAAGAUCUUACAAGAGCUCUGGUUUGAAUUUGGAAGAGCUGCACACCGUGUUGCUGUUUUUUAAGCUUCAGAAUUCAGACAAAUAGCAAGGCUCCAGUUUUAAUUAUAUUAUGUAUUUUGUAUUUUCCAUGAUAUAUUUUUUUUGUUUUACAGCCAUGAUAUUGAUGUUUUUAUGUACAAACUACAUUUAUCUAUACUAUUAAAGCAGAAGUACUCC